CAGCAGCCGCGGGAAUACGUAGGGUGCAAGCGUUAAUCGGAAUUACUGGGCGUAAAGCGUGCGCAGGCGGUUUUGUAAGACAGAGGUGAAAUCCCGGGGCUCAACCUGGGAACUGCCUUUGUGACUGCAAGGCUAGAGUACGGCAGAGGGGGAUGGAAUUCCGCGUGUAGCAGUGAAAUGCGUAGAUAUGCGGAGGAACACCGAUGGCGAAGGCAAUCCCCUGGGCCUGUACUGACGCUCAUGCACGAAAGCGUGGGGAGCAAACAGGAUUAGAUACCCGGGUAGUCCCUGUCUCUUAUAC
rnacentral:rRNA from 1 species